rnacentral:misc_RNA from 1 species
UUAACUAUUGUAUAGUACUCAGACGACAUUAUAUUCAGGGUUGGGGGUCCUCUGGCGGGCGCUGCCCAGCCGAAGCCGGGGCCUCGUGGGAGGCGGCCCGCCAAAGCAACAUGGUGUAAUAGCACAGGGUGGGAGGUCUACCCGUCAGGGCAUGAACUCUGUAAUGAUCCCUCCGCAGGUUCACCUACGGAGA